rnacentral:rRNA from 1 species
AUUGAACGCUGGCGGCAGGCCUAACACAUGCAAGUCGAGCGGAUGAGGGGAGCUUGCUCCUGGAUUCAGCGGCGGACGGGUGAGUAAUGCCUAGGAAUCUGCCUGGUAGUGGGGGAUAACGUCCGGAAACGGGCGCUAAUACCGCAUACGUCCUGAGGGAGAAAGUGGGGGAUCUUCGGACCUCACGCUAUCAGAUGAGCCUAGGUCGGAUUAGCUAGUUGGUGGGGUAAAGGCCUACCAAGGCGACGAUCCGUAACUGGUCUGAGAGGAUGAUCAGUCACACUGGAACUGAGACACGGUCCAGACUCCUACGGGAGGCAGCAGUGGGAAAUAUUGGACAAUGGGCGAAAGCCUGAUCCAGCCAUGCCGCGUGUGUGAAGAAGGUCUUCGGAUUGUAAAGCACUUUAAGUUGGGAGGAAGGGCAGUAAGUUAAUACCUUGCUGUUUUGACGUUACCAACAGAAUAAGCACCGGCUAACUUCGUG